rnacentral:rRNA from 1 species
UAGGGAAUCUUCCACAAUGGGCGAAAGCCUGAUGGAGCAACGCCGCGUGUGUGAUGAAGGGUUUCGGCUCGUAAACNCUGUUGUAAGAGAAGAAUGACAUUGAGAGUAACUGUUCAAUGUGUGACGGUAUCUUACCAGAAAGGAACGGCUAAAUACGUGCCAC